AGUGAACGCUGGCGGUAGGCCUAACACAUGCAAGUCGAACGGCAGCACAGUAAGAGCUUGCUCUUACGGGUGGCGAGUGGCGGACGGGUGAGGAAUACAUCGGAAUCUACUUUUUCGUGGGGGAUAUCGUGGGAAAAUUUAGCCUAAAACCGAAUACUCCUAACGGGGAAAAUCGGGGAUUCUCGGAACCUUGGCUGUUGGAUGUAGCCGAUGUCGGAUUGGCUAGUUGGCGGGGUAAGGGCCCACCAAGGCGACGAUCCGUAGCUGGUCUGAGAGGAUGAUCAGCCACACUGGAACUGAGACACGGUCCAGACUCCUACGGGAGGCAGCAGUGGGGAAUAUUGGACAAUGGGCGCAAGCCUGAUCCAGCCAUACCGCGUGGGUGAAGAAGGCCUUCGGGUUGUAAAGCCCUUUUGUUGGGAAAGAAAAGCAGCAGGUUAAUACCCCGCUGUUCUGACGGUACCCAAAGAAUAAGCACCGGCUAACUUCGUG
rnacentral:rRNA from 1 species